rnacentral:lncRNA from 1 species
GUGAGAGAGAGACAGUGUGGAAUGUACUUACUUCAUCUUACUUGGGACCACAUACCCCAAUGCUGUGCUGUACUUUGCUGCCCACUGUCCCUAUGUACAUGCCUGUAUGUUCCAGAUCAACUAGACAGCACUGUACUAUGCUGUUACCUCAGCUGCUCCUUACUUCUGCAGUUGCCAAUCUCUGAGCUGCCAGGCAGAUGUGGCAAGCAGUGGGUGGGUUGGCCAUGUGCUCAGGAAUCUUUUUAAAUUCUAUUUUCAUUGUGAAAUGUCACUGAUCCCAAGCAUUUUCUCUUCUGCUGCUCUUUGUAAAAGAAAUAUAAAUUUUCUGUUUGACAAUGGAACAGAUGUACUCUACAAAAAUCUAAAAUAGUGAAGAAUAUAAAAAGGAUGUGAAUAGCAAAAUGUUGAUUGAUUUAAUUCCCCUCUACUCCAUUUUUGCCUCUGAUUCCCUUUCUCCUCUGCAUGUAUUUAUAUCCAAUCAAUCAUCUUUCUGCUCUUUCUAUUAUUCUUCCUACCUAAUGCUCAG